rnacentral:rRNA from 1 species
GACGAACGCUGGCGGCGUGCUUAACACAUGCAAGUCGAACGGAAAGGCCCUGCUUUUGUGGGGUGCUCGAGUGGCGAACGGGUGAGUAACACGUGAGUAACCUGCCCUUGACUUUGGGAUAACUUCAGGAAACUGGGGCUAAUACCGGAUAGGAGCUCCUGCUGCAUGGUGGGGGUUGGAAAGUUUCGGCGGUUGGGUAUGGACUCGCGGCUUAUCAGCUUGUUGGUGGGGUAGUGGCUUACCAAGGCUUUGACGGGUAGCCGGCCUGAGAGGGUGACCGGCCACAUUGGGACUGAGAUACGGCCCAGACUCCUACGGGAGGCAGCAGUGGGGAAUAUUGCACAAUGGGCGGAAGCCUGAUGCAGCAACGCCGCGUGCGGGAUGACGGCCUUCGGGUUGUAAACCGCUUUCGCCUGUGACGAAGUGUGAGUGACGGUAAUGGGUAAAGAAGCACCGGCUAACUACGUG